UAAGUCAGAGACGGUGAGGUCCCAUCCUCAGCCUGAAGCUCAAUUAGGAGCUGAGGAGGGGGAGGGGCUAAGGAGAAAGAUAAGGCUCUGAGAGAUAACUUUAUGCAAAGGGCUAUUUGAGACUAUGACAGAAUGACAGUCAAGCUAGAGCUCUCAAAAGAGGAGUGUGGUGUAGAGAGAGAAAAACUAGAGAGGGAGACAGAGGGCAGGUUGUGAAGGACAUUGUAAACCACAUUGAAGAGUUGGGGAUUAACCCUCAGAGUGAUGAGGAGCCUUCGAAGCGGGAGAAUGCGUGGGUUGAGUUCAUGUUUCAGGAAGACCAUUCCAGCUGUGUAGUGAAGAAUGCAGGAAGGUAAAACGACAUCCAGAAGACCUGUUAGGAUGUUAAGGCAGCUCCUAUGGACUGAAUGUUUGUGUCGUUUCCGUGCCUCCCCUAGCCAAAUUCAUAUGUUGAAACCCAACCCCCAGUGUGAUGGGGUUUGGAGGUGGGACCUGUGGGAAGUGAUUACGUCAUGAGGGUGGAGGCCUCGUGAGUAAGAUUAGUGCCCUUAUAAAAUAGGCCAGAGAGCUCCCUGGUCCCUUCUACCGAGUCAGGACACUGUGAAAAGGCAUCUACCUCUGAACCAUGAAGCAGGCUCUCACCAGACACUCAAUCUGUCAGCACCUUGAUCCACGACUCCCCGGCCUCCAGAACUCACAGUCUUAGCAUCCAGCAACCGUGAUGAACUUUCUUUCUAGUUCUAAAAGCCCAGGGAAGUGAAGUACUUUCUUGGCCACCCUCCCUUGGAAGUGACCAGGUGACAGUUUUGAAGUAAGUGAGAUGUCAACAGAAUCCUGUAGGAGUUUUCUGUGAACAUUUUGCUUUCCUGAUGGAAGGGGCAAAGGAGGUCAGAAAGUUUGAAAGAAGAGCAUGACAAUUACCCUCAACAUUGAUUCAAUACCAGCCUGUGAGACCUAUUCUCCUUCCUCAAGUGGAGAAUGUCCAGUGUGGAGGGAGGGAGUCGGUGAACAGUUUCUUCAACCAAGGAAAUCUUCAUUGCUCAAGGAAACAUCUAAUGUGAGAUUAAAGCACGAGACUUUACCCAGCACUUCCUGUUUUGGUCAUUCAUCUGGGGAUGCUGGCUCUUUAUUUUCUACAAGAAGUUGCAUGAAAAAGACAUGGAAACAAACAAGAAUAAAACAAGAAGAGAAAAUAAUGAGGCUGCAUCACUGGGAGGAAAGAUCUGACUCCGGCCUCCCAGCAGGAACUGUCUUAUUGGAGAGCAAUCCAAAGAGAAUACACAAUGGGAGCCCAUGCUUCUUAUCUUGAUGAAAUAGCCUCUAAAUAAUAAAUAAAUAAACACGCACAUAUCAUCCCAGUCGCAGAAACUUGAUUAUUGACUUGGGCAAUCCUUUCUCCAUCUCUUUGUGCCAAUAAAGUUAUUACAAUUGAAUUGAGAGAGGCAGACGCACAAGCAUUGCCGAGACAAGAUGCUGAGUAGUUGAAAUCAAUGACUUGCAGGGCUGAUCUCCUGCCAAGGGCUGCACCAGCUCCCGGGAGGAAUCCGCCACUCUGGCCAGUGGCCCAGCACUGCGGAAGCUGCAGGGAGAAGAUACUGCAUCCAAGAAGAAAGAACCGGGAGAAACAAAAAAGGAGCAUUCUGAGGCCAAAAUGAAAUUCUUGGAAAUUAAAAACAGCAGAAAUGGGGGCGCCUGGGUGGCUUAGUGGGUUAAGCCGCUGCCUUUGGCUCAGGUCAUGAUCUCAGGGUCAUGGGAUCGGGUCCCUCAUUGGGCUCUCUGCUCGGCAGGGAGCCUGCUUCCCUCUCUCUCUCUCUGCCUGCCUCUCCAUCUACUUGUGAUUUCUCUCUGUCAAAUAAAUA